UAGGGAAUCUUCGGCAAUGGGGGGAACCCUGACCGAGCAACGCCGCGUGAGUGAAGAAGGUUUUCGGAUCGUAAAGCUCUGUUGUUAAGGAAGAACGAGUGUGAGAAUGGAAAGUUCAUACUGUGACGGUACUUAACCAGAAAGGGACGGCUAACUACGUGCCAGCAGCCGCGGUAAUACGUAGGUCCCGAGCGUUGUCCGGAUUUAUUGGGCGUAAAGCGAGCGCAGGCGGUUAGAAAAGUCUGAAGUGAAAGGCAGUGGCUCAACCAUUGUAGGCUUUGGAAACUGUUUAACUUGAGUGCAGAAGGGGAGGGUGGAAUUCCAUGUGUAGCGGUGAAAUGCGUAGAUAUAUGGAGGAACACCGGUGGCGAAAGCGGCUCUCUGGUCUGUAACUGACGCUGAGGCUCGAAAGCGUGGGGAGCGAACAGG
rnacentral:rRNA from 1 species